GACGAACGCGGCGGCGUGCCUAAUACAUGCGAGUAGAACGCUGAAGGAGGAGCUUGCUUCUCCGGAUGAGUUGCGAACGGGUGAGUAACGCGUAGGUAACCUGCCUGGUAGCGGGGGAUAACUAUUGGAAACGAUAGCUAAUACCGCAUAAUAGUAGAUGUUGCAUGACAUUUGCUUAAAAGGUGCAAUUGCAUCACUACCAGAUGGACCUGCGUUGUAUUAGCUAGUUGGUGGGGUAACGGCUCACCAAGGCGACGAUACAUAGCCGACCUGAGAGGGUGAUCGGCCACACUGGGACUGAGACACGGCCCAGACUCCUACGGGAGGCAGCAGUAGGGAAUCUUCGGCAAUGGACGGAAGUCUGACCGAGCAACGCCGCCUGAGUGAAGAAGGUUUUCGGAUGUAAAGCUCUGUUGUAAGAGAAGAACGGGUGUGAGAAG
rnacentral:rRNA from 1 species